rnacentral:rRNA from 1 species
GUGGGGAAUAUUGGGCAAUGGGCGAAAGCCUGACCCAGCAACGCCGCGUGAGGGAAGAAGGCCUUCGGGUUGUAAACCUCUGUCCUUGGUGACGAAAAAAAUGACGGUAGCCAAGGAGGAAGCCCCGGCUAACUACGUGCCAGCAGCCGCGGUAAUACGUAGGGGGCGAGCGUUGUCCGGAAUUACUGGGCGUAAAGGGUGCGUAGGUGGCCUUUUAAGUUGGAUGUGAAAUACCCGGGCUUAACUUGGGGGGUGCAUCUAAUACUGGAGGGCUAGAGUGCAGGAGAGGGAAGCGGAAUUCCUAGUGUAGCGGUGAAAUGCGUAGAUAUUAGGAGGAACACCAGUGGCGAAGGCGGCUUUCUGGACUGUAACUGACACUGAGGCACGAAAGCGUGGGGAGCAAACAGGAUUAGAAACCCUAGUAGUCC